rnacentral:rRNA from 1 species
UACGGAGGGUGCGAGCGUUAUCCGGAAUUACUGGGUUUAAAGGGCGCGUAGGCGGCUUUGUAAGUCAGGAGUGAAAGUUUGCGGCUCAACCGUAAAAUUGCUUCUGAUACUGCAUGGCUAGAAUUAGGAUGAGGUCAGCGGAAUGUGGCAUGUAGCGGUGAAAUGCAUAGAUAUGCCAUAGAACACCAAUUGCGAAGGCAGCUGACUAGACCUGGAUUGACGCUGAGGCACGAAAGCGUGGGGAGCGAACAGG